rnacentral:rRNA from 1 species
GGACGAACGCUGGCGGCGUGCCUAAUACAUGCAAGUAGAACGCUGAAGAGAGGAGCUUGCUCUUCUUGGAUGAGUUGCGAACGGGUGAGUAACGCGUAGGUAACCUGCCUUGUAGCGGGGGAUAACUAUUGGAAACGAUAGCUAAUACCGCAUAACAAUGGAUGACACAUGUCAUUUAUUUGAAAGGGGCAAUUGCUCCACUACAAGAUGGACCUGCGUUGUAUUAGCUAGUAGGUGAGGUAAUGGCUCACCUAGGCGACGAUACAUAGCCGACCUGAGAGGGUGAUCGGCCACACUGGGACUGAGACACGGCCCAGACUCCUACGGGAGGCAGCAGUAGGGAAUCUUCGGCAAUGGGGGCAACCCUGACCGAGCAACGCCGCGUGAGUGAAGAAGGCUUUCGGAUCGUAAAGCUCUGUUGUAAGUCAAGAACGGGUGUGAGAGUGGAAAGUUCACACUGUGACGGUAGCUUACCAGAAAGGGACGGCUAACUACGUG